GACGGAGGAUGCAAGUGUUAUCCGGAAUGAUUGGGCGUAAAGCGUCCGCAGGUGGCAGUUCAAGUCUGCUGUCAAAGACCGGGGCUUAACUUCGGAAAGGCAGUGGAAACUGAACAGCUAGAGUAUGGUAGGGGCAGAGGGAAUUCCUGGUGUAGCGGUGAAAUUCGUAGAGAUCAGGAAGAACAUCGGUGGCGAAGGCGCUCUGCUGGACCAUAACUGACACUCAGGGACGAAAGCUAGGGGAGCGAAUGGG
rnacentral:rRNA from 1 species